rnacentral:lncRNA from 1 species
AGUGCAGUGGCACGAUCUUGGCUCACUGCAACCUCUGCUUCUUAGGUGCAAGUGAUUUUCCUGCCUCAGCCUCCUGAGUAGAUGGGAUUACAGGCACGCACCACCACACCCAGCUAUUUUUUUUGUAUUUUUAGUAGAUAUGGGGUUUCACCAUGUUGGCCAGGCUGAUCUCGAACUCCUGACCUCAGCGAUUCUCCCGUUUCAGCCUGGAUUUGUGUAUUUUAUGGUAGUAAAUCAUAAAAGACUAGUAUCUACAUAUAUUUUAUGCAUUCAUGACAUACCUUUUUAAUUUUUUCCAUAUUUCUAGGCUAUGUGGUUCAUCUGCAAGUUUUUUCAAAUUGUUGCAAAUCUCCAAAAAAAUUUUCAAGUGAACUCGUGCAGUUCAAACUUGUGCUGUGCAAGAGUCAACUGUAUUUGCUUAUUUUCUCAAAAAGGAAUGCCUAAAGGAUAAUCAAGAAACUAAUGAAACUGCCAGAUGUGGUGGUGCACACCUGUAGUCCUAGCUACUCAGGAGGCUGAGGUAAGAGGAUAGCUUGAGCCCAGGAGUUUGAGGCCAUCCUGGGCAGUGUAUCAAGACCCCAUCUCUAAAAAGAAAUACGAAUUUUUUUUUAGAGAAGUUAAUGAAAUUGAUCACAUGGCCAUGCUCAGUGGCUGACACCUGUAAUCCCAGCACUUUGGGAGGCCGAGGUGGGAGGAUCAUUUGAGGUCAGGAGUUCGAGACCAGCUUGGUCAACAUGGUGAAACCCCAUCCCUACUAAAAAUACAAAAAAUAGCUGGGCGUGUUGGUUUGUGCCUGUAAUCCCAGCUACUCGGGAGGGUGAGGCAGGAAAAUCGCUUGAGCCCAGGAGGCAGAGAUUGUACUGAGCCAAGAUCAUGCCAUUGCACUGCAGCCUGGGCAACAAGAGCAAAACUCUGUCUCAAAAAAAAAAAAAAAAAAAAAAAAGAAACUGAUCACAUAUCAGUUAGUGUAACCAGUUGGUGUGACCCAGUUUGUGGGUCAGUAAAAAUGUUUAGAGUUGAUAGGAAUAG